rnacentral:rRNA from 1 species
GUGGGGAAUAUUGGACAAUGGGGGCAACCCUGAUCCAGCGACGCCGCGUGAGUGAUGAAGGCCUUCGGGUCGUAAAGCUCUGUUGCAGGGGAAGAACACAAUGACGGUACCCUGCUAGAAAGGAUCGGCUAACUUCGUGCCAGCAGCCGCGGUAAGACGAGGGAUCCUAGCGUUGUUCGGAAUUAUUGGGCGUAAAGCGGGUGCAGGUGGCUUGGUAAGUCAGAUGUGAAAGCCUGGGGCUUAACCCCAGAAGUGCAUUUGAUACUGCUGAGCUUGAGUGCUGGAGAGGCUAUUAGAAUUCCUGGUGUAGUGGUGAAAUACGUAGAUAUCAGGAGGAAUACCGGAGGCGAAGGCGGAUAGCUGGCCAGACACUGACACUCAGACCCGAAAGCGUGGGGAUCAAACAGGAUUAGAAACCCCUGUAGUCC